GGGCCUAUAGUAAAAUGGUAUUACAUCUCCAUGGCAUGGAGGAGGUAGGAGUUCGAUUCUCCUUAGGUCCA
rnacentral:tRNA from 1 species